rnacentral:rRNA from 1 species
AUUUCUGGCAUUAUCAUCUUAAGAAUGCCCAGUCUCGUCUGAUCUCAGAAGCUAAGUAGGAUUGGGCCUAGUUAGUACUUGGAUAAAAGGCCUCUGGUUGAGAAUACCAAUACAAUGGGGGCAGCAGUG